UACGUAGGGGGCAAGCGUUGUCCGGAAUCACUGGGCGUAAAGCGCGCGCAGGCGGUCAUCUACGUCUGGGGUGAAAGCCCGGAGCUCAACUCCGGGAUUGCCUUGGAUACGGGAUGACUUGAGGAUCGGAGAGGCAAGGGGAAUUCCACGUGUAGCAGUGAAAUGCGUAGAGAUGCGGAGGAACACCGAUGGCGAAGGCAGCCCCCUGGGCUAACACUGACGCUCAGGCACGAAAGCGUGGGGAGCAAACAGG
rnacentral:rRNA from 1 species